rnacentral:rRNA from 1 species
AUACGUAGGGGGCGAGCGUUGUCCGGAAUGAUUGGGCGUAAAGGGCGCGUAGGCGGCCUGUUAAGUCUGGAGUGAAAGUCCUGUUUUCAAGAUGGGAAUUGCUUUGGAUACUGAUGGGCUUGAGUGCAGGAGAGGUUAUCGGAAUUCCCGGUGUAGCGGUGAAAUGCGUAGAGAUCGGGAGGAACACCAGUGGCGAAGGCGGGUAACUGGACUGCAACUGACGCUGAGGCGCGAAAGUGUGGGGAGCAAACAGGAUUAGAUACCCUGGUAGUCCACACUGUAAACGAUGAAUGCUAGGUGUAGGAGGUAUCGACCCCUUCUGUGCCGCAGUAAACACAGUAAGCAUUCCGCCUGGGGAGUACGGUCGCAAGAUUAAAACUCAAAUGAAUUGGCGGG